AACAGAAGAGAAGUUUAAAAUCAUUGUUAGUGGCCAAAAGCAAUUUUAGACUCCAUGAAAGGUCAAUUUCAAGAGUCAAAAGAAACCGAAAUUAUCAAUAUAAUUAAAAUAUGGCUUGUAAAAACAAAAGAAAGAUUAAAAAAUACCAAGAAGGGUAGACAAGAGAAUGUAGAAACAUA
rnacentral:lncRNA from 1 species